UUGACCUCGGAUCAGGUAGGAGUUACCCGCUGAACUUAAGCAUAUCAAUAAGCGGAGGAAAAGAAACCAACCGGGAUUGCCUCAGUAACGGCGAGUGAAGCGGCAAGAGCUCAAAUUUGAAAUCUGGCCCCCUCGGGGUCCGAGUUGUAAUUUGCAGAGGAUGCUUCGGGAGCGGUCCCCAUCUAAGUGCCCUGGAACGGGCCGUCAUAGAGGGUGAGAAUCCCGUCUGGGAUGGGCGGCCGCGCCCGUGUGAAGCUCCUUCGACGAGUCGAGUUGUUUGGGAAUGCAGCUCUAAGCGGGUGGUAAAUUUCAUCUAAAGCUAAAUACUGGCCGGAGACCGAUAGCGCACAAGUAGAGUGAUCGAAAGAUGAAAAGCACUUUGAAAAGAGAGUUAAACAGCACGUGAAAUUGUUGAAAGGGAAGCGUUGUCCACCAGACUCGCCCGGGGGGGUUCAGCCGGCACGUGUGCCGGUGUACUCCUCUCCGGGCGGGCCAGCAUCGGUUUGGGCGGCUGGUGAAAGGCCCCGGGAAUGUACCACCCUCCGGGGUGUCUUAUAGCCCGGGGUGCCAUACAGC
rnacentral:rRNA from 1 species